GAUGAACGCUGGCGGCGUGCCUAAUACAUGCAAGUCGAGCGAACGGACGAGAAGCUUGCUUCUCUGAUGUUAGCGGCGGACGUGUGAGUAACACGUGGAUAACCUACCUAUAAGACUGUGAUAACUUCGGGAAACCGGAGCUAAUACCGGAUAAUAUUUUGAACCGCAUGGUUCAAAAGUGAAAGACGGUCUUGCUGUCACUUAUAGAUGGAUCCGCGCUGCAUUAGCUAGUUGGUAAGGUAACGGCUUACCAAGGCAACGAUGCAUAGCCGACCUGAGAGGGUGAUCGGCCACACUGGAACUGAGACACGGUCCAGACUCCUACGGGAGGCAGCAGUAGGGAAUCUUCCGCAAUGGGCGAAAGCCUGACGGAGCAACGCCGCGUGCGUGAUGAAGGUCUUCGGAUCGUAAAACUCUGUUAUUAGGGAAGAAAAGAUGUGUAAGUAACUGUGCAGAUAUUGACGGUACCUAAUCAGAAAGCCACGGCUAACUACGUG
rnacentral:rRNA from 1 species